AGUAUUCCAGCCUAGCUGGGGCGUCGGCGGUCUCGAGUUUGAGCACGAAGUAGCGCCUGUGCCCAUGCUUCUGCUUCCGCAGGUAGCCGCGUUUGCAGACUUCGGCCCCGACGGGGAGGUCCUCCUCUUCGGACUCAGAAUCCGACCGGGAGCCAGUGGCCGUGGAGAGCCACAUGGCUCCCGGACAAGACGACCCGGUCCCAAUGAGUGCGGUUGGGGUUCCCGAAGAAAGAAGCGGGGUGGUCGCCGCUGCUGUUAGAGCCGCUGCUGCUGCCGCUGCUGCACCUCUCAGUCUCCUUGUCGCUUGGUCGCGAGCGAAGGAGCAACUCGCCAUGGUGAUGCGCGAUGGUUUUAAGUGUGGUCCACUCCCUUCCGCUGCUCACCAUGGCCCGAGCUUCUUGGGAGAGAGAGUCAACACCCCCAGAAAACGUGUUAACGACCUGGGCCUUCAGACCUGCCACCCACCGCCCCGCAGGCACUCCCGAACCCGCGCCACCCCUGACAAAAACCCGCGACUCUAAGACACACGAAUAACAGCGAUACCUUCAAAAUGAACAUAAUUUUUAACCAGAGCGCAUUUCUAGCCCAUGAGACACAGGUUCGCUAAAGAUGUUGUUUCUGGCUAUUUAUGAUGACUAUGAAGGCACAAAUUUGGGGGCCUGCACAGUAUACAACCAUGAUGAAAAAAAAAAUAGGACUCAAGUCUUACUGAACUACACCAGUGUUGAGCUAGUGUGAUAUUUUCCUGUGGAAGAUGCUUUGAAAGGUGCCUUUAAAGGAAUCUUAGAAUAUUAAGUUUCUCUUUCUCUGAGCGACACUGAAAAACUUUAGAAAAAUAAAAACUCGUACCUAGAACAAAGGACUAUACUGAAUACGUAGCCUAGAAUAUAUUUCACAUCCUCGCGUCAAAAAAAGAAGAUCUUUGCUGCAUUUCAGUCUACAAGUUCUGCAUUUCAGAACUACUGCCUCCCUUGUUUCUGGAAAAACUGCUGGAGUGUUACCCCAGAGGGCUAAAGUUGCUUUGCAUAUUCAGUUGUAGCAUCUGUGAAGUAUGGACUCUGAAUCAAGAAUUGGAAACAUAGAUUUUUAAAACAACAGAUAAGAAAUAGUAAUACCUACAAUAUUUCUUAUUUUAGUUUGUCAGUUUAGCUGAGAAAAAAAACCCACAAGCAUUGCAGUUGGUAUUUUACAUGUAUAAACUAAAGCAAAUGAAUAAAGAGGCACAGUACCUUUAAAACAGAUUCCAUCUAAUGAAGAAAUAUGUCUUUAACGGGGUUUGCCUUUAUAAGGAAUUUCAGGUGAAUCCUGUUUUACAAAAGCAAUUAUUUUACAUAAAUGACUAGUCAGUGUUAAUAAAAACUCAUCUGCUUCUUUCCUUACAUACAUGAUCAUCAGUAUUCUAAACUCAACUUGUACUAAAAUCAAAAUGGAUACUUGAAGUGUGGAUUCACUUAGCUUAAAAAUUAAACUGUUGCAUUAAAUACAGAUGACAUUAUUUGGGAGAAUAAAACCUAAGAGGAAAAGUAACCGGUAUAAAAGAAUUAUUAGUCUUGCCCAAUGUAUAAAUUAUUAUUUGAGUAUUAACUCUAUAAUCUUUGUGAGCCAACGUCCAAUUAUGUUGAUAAAAA